rnacentral:rRNA from 1 species
AUGCACGCUGGCGGCGUGCCUAAUACAUGCGAGUCGAGCGAACGGACGAGAAGCUUGCUUCUCUGAUGUUAGCGGCGGACGGGUGAGUAACACGUGGAUAACCUACCUAUAAGACUGGGAUAACUUCGGGAAACCGUAGCUAAUACCGGAUAAUAUUUUGAACCGCAUGGUUCAAAAGUGAAAGACGGUCUUGCUGUCACUUAUAGAUGGAUCCGCGCUGCAUUAGCUAGUUGGUAAGGUAACGGCUUACCAAGGCAACGAUGCAUAGCCGACCUGAGAGGGUGAUCGGCCACACUGGAACUGAGACACGGUCCAGACUCCUACGGGAGGCAGCAGUAGGGAAUCUUCCGCAAUGGGCGAAAGCCUGACGGAGCAACGCCGCGUGAGUGAUGAAGGUCUUCGGAUCGUAAAACUCUGUUAUUAGGGAAGAACAUAUGUGUAAGUAACUGUGCACAUCUUGACGGUACCUAAUCAGAAAGCCACGGCUAACUACGUG